UUGGUCCUGUUGCUUUGAGCAUGCAAUGAGGCAGCAUAUAAUGGUGGGGAGCACAUGAUGGAACAAUCUGCUUACUGCAAGGUGGCCUGGAAGUGAAAAAAAAAGAGACCGGAAGGUGCCAAUGUUUCAAUAUUCCCUUCAAGGGCAUGCCCCUGAUCACCUAACCUUCCUCCUCUAGUCCCUACCUCUCAAAGGUUCUACCAUUUCGCAGUAGCACCAUGGGAUAGGGACCAAGCCUUUAACAUGUGGGCCUUUGGUGAAAAAACUAUAGCCUCCCCCAAGACAAAGAGGCACAGAAGACUCUGAACAACAGACCUUGCUAAGUUUCCCCAUCUCAUUCCAUUAGAUCAUACCUUUUGCCCUACUAUAUUUCUCCAUGACCAUCCACUCUUCAUCAAACCUAGUGUAAGAAAUAUUCCAGAGUAACUAUUCCUUUAGGCCUUCAUUUCCUUACAGAUGUUCUCAUGACACAUAAAACUUAAAGCCAACCAAUUUGCACGCUUCUCUUGUUAACCUGCGUUUUGUGACAAGGGUGCAGCCAAUGGGUGAAGGAAAAGGUAUUAAAAACUGAUCUUAUAAUUUCUGCAAGAAAGGCCACAAGUCUUCGAGGCCAAAGGUAGAAGGGUGAGGAAAGUUCUCACGCAUUUUCCUUAGAGACAGAAAAUUUUUCUUGGUUUCUCAAAGAGGAUUCCUUCUCAUUUGAAACCAGUUCUCUUAGAGACCACACCCUCUUCAACUCUAAUAACUACUUAUUCUUGAGGGGAGGGUACCUGGGAUUGAACUCAGGAGCACUCCACCACUGAGCCACAUACCCAGACCAAUUUUGCAUUUUAUUUAGAGACAGGGUCUCACCGAGUUGCUUAGCACCUUGCUUUUUGCUGAGGCUAGCUUUAAGCUCAGCAUCCUCCUGCCCCAGCCUCCCGAGCCUCUGAGAUUACAGGUUUAUGCCACUGUGCCUGGCUAUAAUAGCUAUUUUAAUCAGUGGAAUUUAAGUGGAUAAGUCUAUUAGUUUUGCAGAGCUGCCAAAACACCCACACAGAAUGGGAGGCUCGAACAACAGUUUAUUGUUUCAGAGUUCUAGAGGCCAGAAGUCCAAGACAAGGCGUCAGCAGGGCUAGUUCCUGGUGAGGCUUAUUGAUGGCUGCCCUCUCACUGUGUCUAAACUAUUUUGAUUAUUCAUCUUUAUUAUAAUUUUGAGUAUUCAUCUUUAUCAUAUUUUUUUCCAGCAAAUACACCCCUGAUGUAUUAUUCAUUUAUAAAUUAUAUAUAAAUAUGCCUAUAUAUAUACAUACAUCUACAUAUGCUACAGUUGGACUAUAUUAUAAAAUAACAAAAUAUUCAAAAAUAAGUAAGACAUAAGUAAAAACAUAAAUUUAACUUAAAAAUAAACAAUUGGAAAAUAUAAUACUCUUCAUACUGGAAACCACUGUUCUAGAGGGUGACUGGUUAGCAUAUGGUGGGGGAAAAAAACUUCAAUUUGGAGACACCAAUUUAGAUCCAGAUUAUUCAUUUAUCCAUUGCAUGAUCUCCUCUGAAUUGUUGAGUUUCAGCACAAUAACAGACCCAGGAAUUCCUGGAUAGCUGCUCCAAUAGACUAAUAAUAUUCCUGCCUGAGAUUUUUGUCUAUUUCUACACCUAAUAUAUUUUGGUGAAUAUACAAUGAACACCGUGUCUUCCAGCAGCCCCAAGAGAAGGCGGCCAGGGGAAAAAGAAGAUGACUUAUAAAUUAACACUAGGAAGAGGGACGACUUGUGACUUUUAUUGUUUUGGUCCUGUUGAUUGAACCCAGGCCCUUGUGCACACUAGGCAAGUGCUCUAACAUUGGUCUCCAUCCCCAGCCCAUUUUACUUUAUUUUGAGAUAGGGUUUCAUUAAAUGGCUCCUGGCCUGCAAUUUGAGGUUCUUCUGCCUCAUCCCCCUGAGUAGCUGAGAUUAGAGAUCUGAGCCACCAAGCCCAGGCUGAUUUUUAUCUUUAAAGAGCCUUAUUUAGCAUUCAGAUCCAAACCUUGCC
rnacentral:lncRNA from 1 species